GGGGAUGUAGCUCAGUGGUAGAGCGCACGCUUUGCAUGUGGGAGGCCCCGGGUUCAAUCCCCGGAUCUCCA
rnacentral:tRNA from 1 species